UGGAGAGGAGAGGAUAAUGGCUACUGAAGAAAGAAUGCCGUUGGUUGAAAAGAGAGUGGACGAAGGACGUGCCAGUGGCCCUGGGACCUCAGGUGGUGGGUCGUUUUCACACUUUCUUUUGUACAGCACCGGGUGGGCUGCAGUGAUUUUCGUUUUGUGUGAUUUUCUUUUGGGUCCACGGCUGCUGGUAAGUCCAAGUUCCAUGAUUGUUUUAUUUUCACUUUAGGACACUGUCAACAAUGACGCUACAUCUUGGUUUCUAAAUAUUUUAUUCAUUUUUACUAUAAAUAAAACUGUUUUAAUGUUGGAGCCAACCUGCCUCAGUGGGCAUCCUUGAAUCUGUGCGGCCUCUUUUUAUUCCUUUUUAUCUAUUUUUCUUAAACAUAUAUUUCCUGGGGAUGAAAUUCCCCUAGGUGGCGUUGUCAUUUUAUUAUUUCUUUUAUAACCCCGCCGACCACUUGGUCACAGUGGCAAUGUGUAAGUGUUAUGGAAUGUCUUUGUCUGUAUCUUUUGUCACUUUGCAUAUAAGGCACAGGGCAGCGCCCAUCUUCAGAGAGGAGUUUGGUGUUUGACCAGAGUGCUCUCUCUGCUGCAGCAUAUUAUUAAACCAAAUCAAAAGAACGUCUUGAUGCACGCUCAAUCAUCCAGGUAAGUAAAUCCCAAAAAGUUGAUUCUGUUCAUCUGGACGUAGCAUUUUCAGUGGGAGAAACAUUUCAUCACUCAUCCAAGUGACUUCUUCAGUCUCAGCUGACUGCAGGUUUCCCCAAAUCUUAUAAACAGUACAUUUGCAUAAUGACUGAAACUAGCUAAGUGCAGUCUAGAUAAUACACUGGAAAACUUUCCAAUGAGUCAAGCAGGAAGGACUACGCAUUCCAAAUGAGCAACGAGGAGCCACUGUUAUUUUUAUGAUCCUCAGGCUGUAGACAGCAACAUGCAGCACACCACUUUAACAUUCUGAUAGAAGCUUCAUACAUACAGCUUUGAAAUGAGAAGAAUCAGCUGCAGAUGAAGGAGAGACAGAACUGGUAAUCACUUUGUAUAUAAUAAUACAUCCACGUGCACUGAGAGAGGUAAAGGUGCAGCAAUAUCAGGAGAGGAAUUUUGAUACAGAGAGCAGGGCAUCUCAACAAAAUUUAAAUUAUGACUUUGAUCUUAUGAUCAAUUUCAAUGGGCACUCCACUAAACAGUUGACGACUCAUGGGAGACACAAAUAUGAGGGGAAAAAAAAAAAAUGCAAAGUCGUUUUUACCGUUGAAAGAAACGGACUCACGUGAAUCACCAAACCUCAAACUGGCAGUAAAGUAUUUGCAGGAACUAAAACAUGAUAAAAUAUGGACAUGGAUACAGAGGUCUGGAAAAAGAAGCUAGUGCAUUGCAAGGGCCUUAAACCUGCAUUUUUUUUCUUUUUUUUUUUUUAAUGGGCAGCAAUCAGCAUUACCUAUGGUUGCAAAGAGUUCCACUUCUACAGAAGUCUGUGAGGCCAAAAAGAUUACAGUUCCACAGUCAGGCCGGGCCCUCUCACAAGCUCUCUGUCGCCAUCUGCUGACACUCUGAAAACUCCAUCACUCCUACACUGUAUGCAGCUGUGUGUGCUGCUAUUCUUUCAUGGAAAGGAGAAUUUUGGGCUGUUUUGUGGGUUAUUAGAUGAUUCUAGUCAUGUUUAAAUAUAUGACACUUUCAUCUCUUAAUAAUUAACGUCGAAAAUUUUUAAGGAGUCACUUCAGUAUGUUUCCCAUCAGCAAUAAAGAAAAAAGAUUGUUUUAGUGUUUUUUUGUUUGUUUUUAUUUCUUUGUUUUUACAUUUAACAUAUCCAUUGCUUGGAAAAUAAACUCAUCCUGAAGAUCAAGAAUGCCCAUCAUGAGGAGGAAGAAAGCUGGAUGCCAGAAUCAGGGAAGCCCUGAAGGAUGUUAGUCGGCUAAAAGAGGUACAGAAGGGCAUCAUGAGAUACGGGUCCUGGAUGAUGUGACAGGUGAGACCUGGAGACUUGGAACCGCCCCUGGUGGGCGGAGCUGGUCUGUGCUCCUUUCAUAAGCGCAGGUGUGGGCAAUUAGGUAUUCCUCAGCAAACCUGAAGCUGCAAGUGUGUGGUCCAAGUUGGGUGGGAAACAUUGCUCCCGUGAGAACGGUAUAGUGGACUUCAUCGCCACUGACCCACAUUUAUUAGGGUGUGACACGAACUUGUGGACAGAGUACCGAGCUGCUGCUUUGCCAAGUGGAUUUCUGGCUGCGGGCAAAGGACCCGACACAUCAGUGUGUUUUAAACUGGUGUAAUUCGACCGACUGACUGCUGCGGCUGUCGAUUAUUGUUUUGUUUUAAUUUUUUCUGUAUCAGUAGGCACCACAGAUAUUGAUUCUUUUAGUAUUUUAACCCCUUUUUUUUAUAGAUAUAUAUUGUCGCGAACGGUGAAGGCGCUGCAGGGAAAACGAAUCCUUUUUUUGUCUCGCCGCUUUUGCAUGCACAGCGGUGGCCUGAGUGAGGACGGCACUGAAGAGUUGCCUUUUCUAUAGUGUUUUGCCCAUUUGGGGGUUAUGUGUGAAUUGCCGUCCCUUUUUAACCUGUGUGCUAUGUUGAUUUGUUCUUAAACGGUUCCCCGCAGCGCUUAUCCUGUCUCACGGGCAAUCAUACAGUUUUAUCGUUUUUAAACAAGGUAAAAUUUUUAAUUGUUUUUAAGUGCCGCUGUUACAUUGUUUUAUUUUGUGUUAAAAAUUAAAUUCUUUUUAACUGAC